rnacentral:rRNA from 1 species
CUCCUACGGGAGGCAGCAGUGGGGAAUAUUGGACAAUGGGCGCAAGCCUGAUCCAGCCAUACCGCGUGGGUGAAGAAGGCCUUCGGGUUGUAAAGCCCUUUUGUUGGGAAAGAAAUCCAGCUGGCUAAUACCCGGUUGGGAUGACGGUACCCAAAGAAUAAGCACCGGCUAACUUCGUGCCAGCAGCCGCGGUAAUACGAAGGGUGCAAGCGUUACUCGGAAUUACUGGGCGUAAAGCGUGCGUAGGUGGUCGUUUAAGUCCGUUGUGAAAGCCCUGGGCUCAACCUGGGAACUGCAGUGGAUACUGGACGACUAGAGUGUGGUAGAGGGUAGCGGAAUUCCUGGUGUAGCAGUGAAAUGCGUAGAGAUCAGGAGGAACAUCCAUGGCGAAGGCAGCUACCUGGACCAACACUGACACUGAGGCACGAAAGCGUGGGGAGCAAACAGGAUUAGAUACCCUGGUAGUCCACGCCCUAAACGAUGCGAACUGGAUGUUGGGUGCAAUUUGGCACGCAGUAUCGAAGCUAACGCGUUAAGUUCGCCGCCUGGGGAGUACGGUCGCAAGACUGAAACUCAAAGGAAUUGACGGC